rnacentral:misc_RNA from 1 species
GUGAAUCAUCGAAUUUUUGAACGCAUAUUGCACUUUCUGGUAUUCCGGUGUGUAUGCCUAUUUGAGAGUCAUCUGAAAUAAUAUAAAUGCCAAGAUUUCUCGGAAUUUAAAAUGGGUUGUCCAUUUUUUGUGUUCGCCUAAACUUCAUGACAAGCUCAUUUUCUUGUGUUGCUUGAUACUUUCAGUUACUUCGUGACUUAUCCAGGAAUCAUCUAGCGUGUUAUGAAUUUUACUAUAGCUA